GUCGCCGGAGAACCUCGCUGCCGUCACUGGAGAACUCUUCCGUUGACUCACCGGAGCUUUUGGCCGCUACCGGAGCUAUUGCCGGGUCGGUCCAGAAUUGCAGCUGCUUCAUUUUGUUGUUUCGAGCUGUUUAUGCUGCUGCGGAAACGUGUGGGGCUGUGCUUUGAAGCUGCCUUUGGUUUUGGGUCGAGAC